rnacentral:rRNA from 1 species
GACGAACGCUGGCGGCGUGCUUAACACAUGCAAGUCGAGCGGAAAGGCCCUUUCGGGGGUACUCGAGCGGCGAACGGGUGAGUAACACGUGAGUAAUCUGCCCUGGACUCUGGGAUAGCCACCGGAAACGGUGAUUAAUACCGGAUAUGACACCUUGCUGCAUGGUGGGGUGUGGAAAGUUUUUUCGGUCCAGGAUGUGCUCGCGGCCUAUCAGCUUGUUGGUGAGGUAAUGGCUCACCAAGGCUUUGACGGGUAGCCGGCCUGAGAGGGUGACCGGUCGAACUGGGACUGAGACACGGCCCAGACUCCUACGGGAGGCAGCGGUGGGGAAUAUUGGACAAUGGGCGGAAGCCUGAUCCAGCAACGCCGCGUGAGGGAUGACGGCCUUCGGGUUGUAAACCUCUUUCAGUACCGACGAAGCGUGAGUGACGGUAGGUACAGAAGAAGGACCGGCCAACUACGUGCCAGCCGCCGCCGUAAAAC